GAUAUGUACAGGACAAUCGGUUUUAGAGAUAUUUUAGUCAAUAAGAGCAAUGUGUUUCUAGUUGCGCAGAGUUUGCACUUUUGGGACUAUUCCAUUGGUUUCUUGGUACUGGUUAAGCUAAGUCAAAGGGGAAGGUUUAGCUAAAAGGGUUAAGGUUAGGGUUAGGUGAAGGGUUAGCUAACAGGGUUAAGGUUAGGGUCAGGGUUAGUUAAAAGGGUUAAGGUUAGGGGAAGGGUUAGGGUUAGCUAAAAUGUUUUGUGAAGGGUUAGCUAACAGAGUUAAGGUUAGGUGAAGGGUUAGCUAAAAUGGUUAGCUAAAGGGGUUAAGGUUACAGUUAGGGUCAGGGGAAGGGUUAGCUAAAAUAGUUAAGGUCAGGGGAAGUGUUAGCUAAAAUGAUUAAGGUUAGGGUCAGGGGAAGGGUUAGCUAACAUGCUAAGUAGUUGCAAAGUAGAUCAAAUAUAGUAAGUAGUUGAAAAGUUGCUAAUUAGCAAAAAUGCUAAUGUUGUCCAUGAUGAAAAUGCUAAAGUUGUCCAAAUCCAAUCCUUUGGGUUGCUAGAUGUUUGCCUCCCUAUCCACACUGACCAACCACCCUAUUUUAAUUUAUGCCUUUAAAGUAACCAUCUAUAUUACGUAACCAUACCAAACAUAACAUAUCCUACUAAAUGGAGUGUCUCGGAUUUACAUACAGAAUGAUACAAAAUGGUCUGAGACCAGGCUGCGGGGCAGAGACAUGUCCAUGUAAGUCCCGAGGUCACCGAUGCUAGGAGAGGUGUAAUGACUACUUGAAUUGACAACAUGUAUAUUACUGUGUGAAUUAAAUUGUUGCAUAUGUUUUUUUCCAGAGCUUUUAAAGAGCUGCACAUUUGGAUAUUUAUCACAUUGUAUGUUUUCUGGUUGAUGUAUUUUUAAUGUGACUGGAUUGUAUGUUGGGUUGACUGGUUAUCAGGAACAUCCCUGCUGUCUGGUCUGAACCUUCAAAUGUAUUAGAUUAUAAUCUGGGUGUGUGUUCCUGUCUUUUAUUUUUACUAGAAACAUGCUAAGAAAUGUUCAUUCAGGUUGGGGGUGCAUUUCCUCUUGAAUUGGGUUAAAAGGACAGUGAAUUCACUCAUACUUUGAGGACUUGCUACCAAGCUCCUGUGUGUCAGACACUUCUGGGAAGACUUUCCAAUAGAUGUUGGAACAUUGCUGCAGGGACUUGCUUCCAUUCAGCCACAGGAGCAUGUGUGAUGUCGGGCACUGAUGUUUGGUGAUUAGGCCUGGCUUGCAGUUGGCAUUCCAAUUCAUUCCAAAGGUGUUUGAUGGGGUUGAGGUCAGGGCUCUGUGCAGGCCAGUCAAUUUCUUCCACACCAAAUCUCGACAAAACAUUUCUGAAUUGACCUCACUUUGUGCACGGGGGUAUUGUCAUGCUCAAACAGCAAAGAAAAUUGUUCCUCCUCCACCAAACUUUACAGUUGGCACUAUGCAUUGAGGCAGGUAGCGUUCUCCUGGCAUCCACCAAACCUAGAUUUGUCCGUCAGACUGCCAGAUGGUGAAGCGUGAUUCAUCACUCCAGAGAACGCAUUCCACUGCUCCAGAGUCCAAUGGCGACAGGCUUUACACCAAUUGCUAUAAAGGACUGUAAUGUUCUGUAUGCGUUCCUACGGUGAGCAUAGGACCACUCAUUAUAUGCAGGAAUUAUUGCCUUAAUUAAAAAUGAUUUUAAUUUGAGAAUUCAUUAUGGUGACUUCACAAGUGAAUAUUAUAAGGACAGUUUGUACAUAGUAUGGUUGGAGUCUGAGUAAGUCAGCAUGAUAGUGUGAAAAGAGUCAACUCUGUUUAAUUUGGAUAAUGUCA
ensembl:lncRNA